rnacentral:lncRNA from 1 species
UUUGCAAUAUCUGCAUCUAUGCUUAUAAGUAAUACUGGAUAUAAAAAAAGUAUAUGUUUUUCGUGCCAGUGCCAUAAUGAAGUGCAACGGUGUAUCCUUUCAGGACGUGGUAGCCCUUCUUCUUAAGGCAAAAGCAGUACCUUGCAGCUAAAUAUAAAAAUAAAAGGAACGGCUGUAUUUGGAACAAAUAAGACCUUGUUUAUUGCAGCAUCAUUGGAAGUACAAGGUAUGCAAAGGCAAUGCUCACAUGUACCAUUAUAUUUUUUUUCAUUAAUAUGUCCAGCCAUCUGCUAUAGCCAACUUUGAUGUGGCAGCAGCCACUAUCUGAGUGGUUAUUUGCUAUCCAGAUGUGGUGGUUCCGAUUUUUUUUUUCAGACUGCCAAGCAAUUAAAAAGCACAGUACAAUAUCACCGAUUUUUGCUUUAGUGAAUUUUCUGGUUAUGUGUUUGCAUCAGAUGCUAUUAAAGGUAUCUCAUUUUGAUCAGAUGUGAAUUUUACCCCAAACACGGACAUCUUGAAAGUGUGGCAUUGGAAGAAAACAAAAACAAAGCUUACUUGCUGUAGCCUUUGCAGUUUACGACCAAUUGGAUUGCACAUAACCAUGUCUUUUAGGUAAAUUCCAAUCAGGGUGAUGAAGUUGCUUGUAAUUUUUUUUAUUUUUUCCUGUGUUAUUGCUCUAGAACCUUGUGCAAUGUACCGUACAUUUCUUUGAGGUGAUAUUCAUUACUUCCUUGUGCUUUUAAAGUUGGAAAUGAAGUUCGACUGUUCCUUACUAUACUGCUCAUCACCACUUCUUUUGCCCCGAGCAUGCAGCAAUGUCAAACAUUUUCACUUCUUAGAUCUCUGAAGCCACAGGCAGAGGUUGAACGUGAAAGUGCUUGUAGUGUGAAGAAAUAUCCAAAGUAUUUUAUUGCUCCUUCAUGUAUGAGAAGGACAGUAGGGAUAUAUCCCUGCACAAGCCCUAUCCUUACGAGCUUGUCCUCAGCUGUUGUAUGUGCUCUUGCACAAUGUCUAUCCAAGGAACAUGCUUUCCUAUGUCCCUUUUUGUUUGUUUGUUUGUUUGUUUGACCACAUCCUUUUGAAGAAAGCCACCGUAGAAUCCACUAUACUAUCCAUGUUGUGCAGCUGUAUGUUGUUCAGUAGAGUGUUCCGUGUCUUGUUCUUUUGUCCUUCAACAUAAACCAUUCAACUCUCUGCCCUACAAAGCCUCAGGCAACUCCUUCAAAGUUCUUCUUUGGCUCCUCAAACAGUGUUACAGUCUCAUUAACCUUUACACCUGUGUCCACCCGCCUCAAUUAUAUUUGAUGGAAGAGGGAAUUUUGUAUAUCUGUAGUACAAAAUACAUGUCAUGUUGUCUUGUUAUGUAGAUAAAAUAACUUUUAACUCAUCAUUCGCAACUCAAGAUGCAUAGCACACGAAAUUCUAUUUUGAUCUCUCUGACAGAGCAACCCUCGUGUACUGUCUAGCUGUGAUGUGUUAAUUGGGCUUCGUGCCUGGGUUUCAAACAAGAAACUCUGGUGGAAGACGUAAGAGGUGAUUUGAAACCUGAUGGAAGUUCUUGUGUGCAGGGAGCUGGAACGUGUGGGCAGCAGACAGUGCUCGACCAGAACUGUUGAGCCAUCAUGCAAAUGCAAGCAGUUCAAACACGAACUAAUAAAGUUCAGGGAUAGCACAUCUCCAGUCUCAAUGGUGCCAUUGUCAUCACCUUUCUUCAGUAACUGGACAUUUGGCUUUUAAGGCUGUUUUCCUGACUAAGAACAUCAAAAAUGCCACGCCAGAUUCACAUAAAGACUCAAACAUGAAAACUAUUCCUCCUAUUCAUUUAUUUUCCCAACUUAUGUUGAAAUUGAGCUUGAUGAUCCAUAGAGCUUCUUCAAUAAAUAUCUCAUUGAUAUUGGUUUUUAAUUGAUUUAUUCAUUUCAUAGUUGACCUUGAUGGUCCAGUCAUCGAAUUGACUAUUUAUUGCACCCCGUAUUUUUAAAAAUCUCAGGCUUACUUAUUUUUCGUUGCCACAGUUUCUUUUUUUACAUCAGAGAAGUGUUUGAGCUAUUAAAUAACUGUAGUUGUUUAAUCUUCAGAGUGUUAGCAUAUGACAGUCAUUUAGGACAUCAAACUUGUCACAGAUUUGUUUUAUACAUCUUUUGUUA